CUUUCUCUGAAUUCCAGAUAUGUAGGAGUCUCUUCAGGAAGUAUGGACCUAGUUCAUGCACUUUGCUUUCACAGUGGCUUCCUGACAAACCUGUGUGUCCUGGCCCACAGCCUCUGGCCCAGACUUAGAGAGGGGCUCAAUCGAUUGGUAGAUGUACCCAAGAAAACUCACAGCAGGUCAGCUGGGGUUCCAUCUUCUGUUUCAUCCUCACUCCGGGACCCAGCCUGAGGGAACAGCAAUCCUCAGGGUCUUGCUGAUCGCCGUGGCAGAGGCACAUUGCAUGCUAGGGACCAAAAGCUUCUGUUCGGAAAUCACCCAUUUCGCUAGUUAUGACUGGCUCCUGUGCAAAUUCCUGUCCACCUAGAAUCUUAGACUAUGGCUUUCAUUUGGGAAUGGGUCUUUUGCAGUUGUAAAUGGUUAAGGGUUGUGAGGUGAUAGCGACCUUAGAGUGAACCUAAAACCAGGGAUUUGUGCCCUGAUGUGAGGAAGAGAGAG